GAUUAAAUGGCUGAAGUAUAAGGUAAUAGAUUGUAAAUUUAUUUAUGAGAAUUUUUCUCUUUAAUCA
rnacentral:tRNA from 1 species